rnacentral:ribozyme from 1 species
AAUUGAACAAAAGACAAAGGGAAAACAAAGGCAAAGAAUGCGCGCUUUGUGUUUCACUUUCUUCUUUUGUUCCCCUUUCAUUCCUCUCUCACGUUCUUUUCGUUUCAUUUCAA